CCUACGGGAGGCAGCAGUGGGGAAUAUUGCACAAUGGGGGAAACCCUGAUGCAGCGACGCCGCGUGUAUGAAGAAGUAUUUCGGUACGUAAAGUUCUAUCAGCAGGGAAGAAAAUGACGGUACCUAACUAAUAAGCCCCGGCUAACUCCGUCCCAGCAGCCGCGGUAAUACGUAGGGGGCAAGCGUUAUCCGGAUUUACUGGGCGUAACGUGAGCGUAGACGGCAUCGCAAGUCAGGCGUGAAAUCCCAUGGCUUAACCAUGGAACUGCAUUGGAAACUGUGCAUCUAGAGUGCAGGAGAGGUGAGUGGAAUUCCUGGUGUAGCGGUGAAAUGCGUAGAGAUCAGGAGGAAUACCAGUGGCGAAGGCGGCCUACUGGACUGUAACUGACGUUGAGGUGCGAAAGCGUGGGGAGCAAACAGGAUUAGAUACCCUUGUAGUC
rnacentral:rRNA from 1 species